UGGGGAAUAUUGGACAAUGGGCGAAAGCCUGAUCCAGCAAUUCUGCGUGAGUGAGGAAGGACUUCGGUCUGUAAAGCUCUGUUAAUGUGGAAAAAUGGUAGUUGGUCUAAUAGGCCGAUUAUUUGAUGGUACACAUAGAGGAAGCACCGGCUAACUUCGUGCCAGCAGCCGCGGUAAUACGAAGGGUGCAAGCGUUGUUCGGAUUUAUUGGGCGUAAAGCGCGCGUAGGCGGACCUGUAAGUCAGAUGUGAAAUCUCGGUGCUCAACACCGAAACUGCGUCUGAAACUGCGGGUCUAGAAUCUUGGAGGGGGAGUGGGAAUUUCGCAUGUAGGGGUAAAAUCCGUAGAGAUGCGAAGGAACACCAGAGGCGAAGGCGCACUCCUGGACAAGUAUUGACGCUGAGGCGCGAAAGCGUGGGGAUCAAACAGG
rnacentral:rRNA from 1 species